GACGAACGCUGGCGGCGUGCUUAACACAUGCAAGUCGAACGGAAAGGCCCUGCUUUUGUGGGGUGCUCGAGUGGCGAACGGGUGAGUAACACGUGAGUAACCUGCCCUUGACUUUGGGAUAACUUCAGGAAACUGGGGCUAAUACCGGAUAGGAGCUCCUGCUGCAGGGUGGGGGUUGGAAAGUUUCGGCGGUUGGGGAUGGACUCGCGGCUUAUCAGCUUGUUGGUGGGGUAGUGGCUUACCAAGGCUUUGACGGGUAGCCGGCCUGAGAGGGUGACCGGCCACAUUGGGACUGAGAUACGGCCCAGACGCCUACGUGAGGCAGCAGUGGGGAAUAUUGCACAAUGGGCGGAAGCCUGAUGCAGCAACGCUGCGUGCGGGAUGACGGCCUUCGGGUUGUAAACCGCUUUCGCCUGUGACGAAGCGUGAGUGACGGUAAUGGGUAAAGAAGCACCGGCUAACUACGUG
rnacentral:rRNA from 1 species